GAUGAACGCUGGCGGCGUGCCUAAUACAUGCAAGUCGAGCGAACAGACGAGGAGCUUGCUCCUCUGACGUUAGCGGCGGACGGGUGAGUAACACGUGGAUAACCUACCUAUAAGACUGGGAUAACUUCGGGAAACCGGAGCUAAUACCGGAUAAUAUAUUGAACCGCAUGGUUCAAUAGUGAAAGACGGUUUUGCUGUCACUUAUAGGUGGAUCCGCGCCGCAUUAGCUAGUUGGUAAGGUAACGGCUUACCAAGGCAACGAUGCGUAGCCGAACUGAGAGGGUGAUCGGCCACACUGGAACUGAGACACGGUCCAGACUCCUACGGGAGGCAGCAGUAGGGAAUCUUCCGCAAUGGGCGAAAGCCUGACGGAGCGACGCCGCGUGAGUGAUGAAGGUCUUCGGAUCGUAAAACUCUGUUAUUAGGGAAGAACAAAUGUGUAAGUAACUAUGCACGUCUUGACGGUACCUAAUCAGAAAGCCACGGCUAACUACGUGCCAGCAGCCGCAGUAA
rnacentral:rRNA from 1 species